rnacentral:rRNA from 1 species
GGAUUUGUGGUGUGUCCAGUCGGCCUUUGCUCUUUGAGUGAUUGUGCUGUACUGGUCUGCCAUGUUUGGGUGGAAUCUGUGUGGCAUUAAGUUGUCGUGCAGGGGAUGCCCAUCGUUUACUGUGAAAAAAUUAGAGUGUUCAAAGCAGGCUUAUGCCGUUGAAUAUAUUAGCAUGGAAUAAUGAUAUAGGACCUUGGUACUAUUUUGUUGGUUUGCGCACUAAGGUAAUGAUUAAGAGGGACAGUUGGGGGUAUUUGUAUUCCAUUGUCGGAGGUGAAAUUCUUGGAUUUUUGGAAGACAAACUACUGCGAAAGCAUUUACCAAGGAUGUUU